rnacentral:SRP_RNA from 1 species
GCUGGGCAUGGUGGCUCGUGCCUGUAAUCCCAGCUACUCGGGAGACUGAGGCAGGAGAAUCGCUUGAACCCAGGAGGUGGAGGUUGCAGUGAGCCAAGAUCACACCACUGCACUCCAGCCUGGGUGACAGAGCGAGACUCUGUCUCAA